UGGGGAAUUUUGGACAAUGGGCGCAAGCCUGAUCCAGCAAUGCCGCGUGUGUGUAGAAGGCCUUCGGGUUGUAAAGCACUUUUGUCCGGAAAGAAAUCCGUCUGGCUAAUACCCGGACGGGAUGACGGUACCGGAAGAAUAAGCACCGGCUAACUACGUGCCAGCAGCCGCGGUAAUACGUAGGGUGCGCGCGUUAAUCGGAAUUACUGGGCGUAAAGCGUGCGCAGGCGGCUUUGUAAGACAGAUGUGAAAUCCCCGGGCUCAACCAGGGAGCUGCAUUUGUGACUGCAAGGCUAGAGUGCGUCAGAGGGAGGUGGAAUUCCGCGUGUAGCAGUGAAAUGCGUAGAGAUGCGGAGGAACACCGAUGGCGAAGGCAGCCUCCUGGGAUGACACUGACGCUCAUGCACGAAAGCGUGGGGAGCAAACA
rnacentral:rRNA from 1 species